rnacentral:rRNA from 1 species
CAGUAGCCGCGGGAAAACGGAGGGUGCAAGCGUUAAUCGGAAUUACUGGGCGUAAAGCGUGCGUAGGCGGUUCGUUAAGUCUGUUGUGAAAGCCCCGGGCUCAACCUGGGAAUGGCAAUGGAUACUGGCGAGCUAGAGUGUGUCAGAGGAUGGUGGAAUUCCCGGUGUAGCGGUGAAAUGCGUAGAGAUCGGGAGGAACAUCAGUGGCGAAGGCGGCCAUCUGGGACAACACUGACGCUGAGGCACGAAAGCGUGGGGAGCAAACAGGAUUAGAUACCCCUGUAGUCCCUGUCUCUUAUAC